UUAAGUUACAAAGAGCGCAGGGUGGAUGCCUUGGCACUGAGAGCCGAUGAAAGACGUGAUAAGCUGCGAUAAGCUGCGGCAAGGAGCAAAUAUCCGAUGAACCGCAGAUUUCUGAAUGGGGAAACCUGGCUGAGCAAACCUCAGUCGUCAUAUACUGAAUACAUAGGUAUAUGUCGGGAACCUCCUGAACUGAAACAUCUAAGUAGGGAGAGGAAGAGAAAGAAACAUCGAUUCCGUAAGUAGCGGCGAGCGAACGCGGAAGAGCCCAAACCGGAGUGCGUGCAUUCCGGGGUAUGGACUGCGAUAUGGCAGUGUGAAUGGUAGUAGAAGGGUCUGGGAAGUCCCGCCAUAGAGAGUGAAAGCCUCGUACACGAAAUCAUGAACACGCCUAGCAGUAUCCGGAGUACCACGAGACACGAGAAACCUUGUGGGAAGGCGGAGGGACCACCCUCCAAGGCUAAAUACUACUCAGUGACCGAUAGAGCAUAGUACUGUGAAGGAAAGGUGAAAAGAACCCCGGGAGGGGAGUGAAAGAGAACCUGAAACCCUGUGUUUACAAGCUGCGGAACUACAUUUUAGGUAGAACCGCGUACUUUUUGUAGAACGGUCCGGCGAGUUUCUUUUACUGGCAAGGUUAAGUACUUAAGGUACGGAGCCGAAGUGAAAGCAAGUGUUAACAGCACGUCUAGUCAGUAGAAGAAGACCCGAAACCGGGUGAUCUACCCAUGUCCAGGUUGAAGUUGCCGUAAAAGGCAAUGGAGGACCGAACGCACAUCCGUUGAAAAGGGUGGCGAUGAGGUGUGGGUAGGGGAGAAAUUCCAAUCGAACCCGGAGAUAGCUGGUUCUCCUCGAAAUAGCUUUAGGGCUAGCCUCGUAUUAGUCUUGCGGAGGUAGAGCACUGAAUAUCCUAGGGGGCGUCAAAGCUUACCGAAGAUUAUCAAACUCCGAAUGCCGUAAAGAUGAUGUAUGGGAGUCAGACUGCACGAGAUAAGUUGGGUAGUCAAAAGGGAAAGAGCCCAGACCUACAGCUAAGGUCCCAAAGUACGUGUUAAGUGGAAAAGGAUGUGGGAUUUCGAAGACAACUAGGAUGUUGGCUCAGAAGCAGCCAUACAUUCAAAGAGUGCGUAAUAGCUCACUAGUCGAGAGGUCCUGCGCCGAAAAUGUCCGGGGCUGAAACACGACACCGAAGCUUAGGAAUCGAAAGAUUGGUAGAGGAGCAUUGAAUACGGAACGAAGCAGUACCGGAAGGAGCUGUGGACUGUAUUGAAGAGAGAAUGCCGGAAUGAGUAGCGAGAUUUAAGUGAGAAUCUUAAAGGCCGAAUAUCUAAGGUUUCCAGGGUAAAGCUGAUCUUCCCUGGGUAAGUCGGGGCCUAAGGCGAGGACGAAAGUCGUAGUCGAUGGAUAACAGGUUGAAAUUCCUGUACCGCAUAUAAACAGAACUGUGGGGACGCAGAGAGAAAGCCAGAGCCGGAAAUGGAAAAGCCGGUACAAGCGAGGUAUCCGAGUGACAGGCAAAUCCGUCACUUAAGGAGAAUACGUGAUGUGGAUCGAACUAGAGUAGAGAAGCUGGUGAGCUAGCUGCCAAGAAAAGCCGCUAUUGUUUUAUAUGUGCCCGUACCGUAAACCGACACAGGUGGAUGAGGAGAGAAUCCUAAGGCCGGCGGGAGAAGUGUUGUUAAGGAACUCGGCAAAAUGACUCCGUAACUUCGGGAGAAGGAGUGCCACAGAGAUGUGGCCGCAGAGAAAUGGCCCAAGCAACUGUUUAGCAAAAACACAGGUCUAUGCAAAACCGAAAGGUGAGGUAUAUGGGCUGACGCCUGCCCGGUGCUGGAAGGUUAAGAGGAGAGCUUAGCGCAAGCGAAGGUUUGAAUUUAAGCCCCAGUAAACGGCGGCCGUAACUAUAACGGUCCUAAGGUAGCGAAAUUCCUUGUCGGGUAAGUUCCG
rnacentral:rRNA from 1 species